AGGGGAAUAUUGGACAAUGGGCGCAAGCCUGAUCCAGCAAUGCUGCGUGAGUGAUGAAGGCCCUAGGGUUGUAAAGCUCUUUCACCGGUGGAGAAAAUGACGGUAACCGGAGAAGAAGCCCCGGCUAACUCCGUGCCAGCAGCUGCGGUAAUACGAACGGGGCUAGUGUUGUUCGGCUGUACUGGGCGUAACGCGCACGUAGGCGGACUUUUCAGUGAGGGGUGAAAUCCCGGGGCUCAACCCCGGAACUGCCUUUGAUACUGGAGGGAUUGAGUAUGGUAGAGGUCAGUGGAAUUCCGAGUGUAGUGGGCAAAUUCGUAGAUAUUCGGAAGAACAGCAGUGGCGAAGGCAGCUCGCUGGACCAGUACUGAAGCUGAGGUGCGAAAGCGUGGGGAGUAAACAGG
rnacentral:rRNA from 1 species